UCUUGGUCAUUUAGAGGAAGUAAAAGUCGUAACAAGGUUUCCUUCCGCCGGGCUGACCCCCGGAAGCCUUUCGCGGCGACUAUAAAUACCCGUGCAGUCUAGGGGUUCUCCCUGGGCCACGCCAUCACUGUGCUGGAAAGCCCUUAUAUGUGGGUCAACCUGCAGCCGGUCUCCCCCGGGGACACGGUUCACAGAUCAAACGAUGGUGGCCACCGGCCCGGUGGUUCAGAUAUGAUCGAAAUCCCCCGAGGUUUCUCGGGGGGAGGCUUUGUUCCGUAGGUGAACCUGCGGAAGGAUCAUUAACAGAGAAGAGGGUCCCUCGGGGCCCAAACUCACCACCCUUUGUGAACUUACCUUUGUUGCUUUGGCGAGCCGUGGGGCCUUCGGACCCCCCGUCGACUCCGGUGGACGUGUGCCCGUCAGAGACCCUCUCAAUUCUGAUAAUUAGUGAAGUCCGAGUUAAAAUAUAAUCGUUAAAACUUUCAACAACGGAUCUCUUGGUUCUGGCAUCGAUGAAGAACGCAGCGAAAUGCGAUAAGUAAUGUGAAUUGCAGAAUUCAGUGAAUCAUCGAAUCUUUGAACGCACAUUGCGCCCUCUGGUAUUCCGGGGGGCAUGCCUGUUCGAGCGUCAUUACACCUCUCAAGCCCAGCUUGGUAUUGGGCGUCGUCCCCUGGGGCGCGCCCGAAAGUUAGCGGCGACGCGGUCGGUCUUCAAGCGUAGUAAAACUUCUGUUUCGCUUUCGGAGGCCGGGCGUGCCCGCCGGAUAACCCCCAAUUUUUCAAUGGUUGACCUCGGAUCAGGUAGGGAUACCCGCUGAACUUAAGCAUAUCAAUA
rnacentral:rRNA from 1 species